rnacentral:rRNA from 1 species
AACGAACGCUGGCGGCAUGCCUAACACAUGCAAGUCGAACGAGAACUUCGGGCCUCGUGGCGCUCGGCUGCGUAACGCCGGGGAAGUUGCCCUUAGGUUCGGAACAACUCCCUGAAGGGGGUGCUCAUACCGGAUAGUGUCUUAGGACCAAAGAUCUAUCGCCAUUGGAUGGGGGCGCGUUGGAUUCGCCAGUUGGUAGGGUAAGAGCCUAUCAAGGCGACGAUGCAUAGCUGGUCGGUGAGGAUGAUCAGCCACACUGGGGCUGAGACACAGGCCAGACUCCUACGCAAGGCAGCAGAGGGUAAUACUGGGCAAUGGGCUAUAGCCUGAUCCCGCAAUGCCGGGUAAGUGAUUAAGGCGGUAGGGAAGUAAAUCUCUUUUACCCGGGAUGUUAAUGACGGUACCGGGAGAAUAAGCACCGGCUAACUCCGUG